rnacentral:tRNA from 1 species
GGAGGGGUGCGAGAGCGGCCGAAUCGGCACGACUGGAAAUCGUGUGUCCUUCACGGGACCGUGGGUUCAAAUCCCACCCUCUCCGCCA